UAGAAGAAGUGCUCCAGAUGUGGGAGCAGCAAAAGAUAGUGUCAGAGUUGGUCACCCAGCACCAGUCUUUGUGUUCCACGAAAACUGCGGAACCAACAUUCGUCUGACGAACGGUAACAGGACCGCGGAGAAGAUACAGCCGCAUGCGUUUAAUAAUGGGGUGGUCGUGUCACGUGACCCUAUGUUGGCCGACGUCUUGUAUGAAGUCAGAGUGGACACAGUAACAGGCGGGUACAACGAGCUAGCACUGGGUGUGACAAGAAUUUCUCCUGCACACGUCUUUGUGACAAAAUAUGCUUCAGAGCUGCCAGACUCCGUUAUCAUCGGGCCCGGUGAGGUCUCCUACCAGCAAAGAUGUAUGCAGAUACCGCUCGGAGUAGACCUCAAGAGACUUCACGUCGGGAGUCGAGUCGGGUUGCUGGUGACCUCAUCAAACGACCUUCACCUCUACAUUGACGGACGACCAGGGUGUUGUAGCCAAAAUGUUACA
rnacentral:misc_RNA from 1 species